CCUACGGGAGGCAGCAGUGGGGAAUAUUGCACAAUGGGGGGAACCCUGAUGCAGCGACGCCGCGUGGGUGAGGAAGUACUUCGGUAUGUAAAGCCCUAUCAGCAGGGAAGAAAAUGACGGUACCUGACUAAGAAGCCCCGGCUAACUACGUGCCAGCAGCCGCGGUAAUACGUAGGGGGCAAGCGUUAUCCGGAUUUACUGGGUGUAAAGGGAGCGUAGACGGCGUGCCAAGUCUGGUGUGAAAGGCCGGGGCUCAACCUGUGGCCUGCAUUUGAAACUGUUUUUCUUGAGUACUGGAGAGGCAGACGGAAUUCCUAGUGUAGCGGUGAAAUGCGUAGAUAUUAGGAGGAACACCAGUGGCGAAGGCGGUCUGCUGGACAGCAACUGACGCUGAGGCGCGAAAGCGUGGGGAGCAAACAGGAUUAGAUACCCGAGUAGUC
rnacentral:rRNA from 1 species